CUCCAGCAGGUAGACGGUGUUCCUGCAGCUGAUCAUCUUGGAGGUGAAGGAGGAGGUGGUGGGGGAGCUCCAGUCCUCCUGAACCUCCUGCAAGAACUCGGACACGGACACGCACUCCGGCAUGGUGCUCCUCAACCCGGGACACUCCGGGACGGCACCGGGUCUAUUAGAGGUCCUGACAGAUCAAUGCUGAACAAAAGACCGGGGGAGCCACGCGAGGGUCUAUUGUGACGAAUAAUAAAACUAAAAAUGUCAAUUCAAUAAUUGAAUGAUGCCCGUGCGAUGAUGCUUGACGGGCUGAUAAACCCGGUGAUUGAAAACCUGAUCACUGAUUCCUCCGUCGGUGUGGCUUCACCGUGAGCCGCAGCAUCCGCCGCUUCUGCCUCCAAACAAAAGGGGACAGAAAUCCUGCAGGAGAUAAAACGCCGACCGCGCGGCUUCUGCACGAACCCGGAAAUAUUGAAGAAGAAAAGGUCCCGGGCCGUUAUAGUGCCUGAAAAGCACGGAGUCUCUCCCCGGUAACGCCGCUUCAUUCAGAGGAAAAGCCCACAAACCCACCCGGGUCUCUCCGUGUGGGAACCGGCUGACAAAGAACGGAGGAGCGUAGAGGGACACCGGAACCCCCGGACACCUGCGCCGGGUUCAGACGAGGGAAUCGAACCGGUCUCCGCGCUGCGCUCCAGAAACACCUUCAUGUUUUUUCAUCAUCAGCUGACGUUUUUUCCCCCCUGCUUUUUCCUCCUUUAUUCAAACCGCAUGGAGAAGCGCGUUCACGGCGCGCGGCGACGGCGGUGGGGCUGUUUGCCGCGGGAGCGCGCCCUGCUGACCGAACGCGGGGGUUAACGUAAAACACCGCAACACCGGGCAACGAGCCGCAGCUUCUCUCACAUCGUCAGCAGUCUCACAGGAAACCAUCGAGCGGCUGCUGUAAACAAAUCGUUUGCAACUUCCCGUCGAACAGCUUGAAGAUGAUCUGCUCCAUGAGACCUCCCGAUCAUGUUCCUACCCUCCAGAGGAUGAUCCCUCUACGACCAACAAGUAUUACAUCCUUAAAAUUCUUAAAACUUAUCAAAAUAAUAAACCAAAUUCUAUUUUAACUUAUUUAGUUUUUGAGUGAUAUUAAUUUAUUCUUAUAUUAUAUCUAUUUACGCAGAAACAAAAUCUAACUUUGAAGUUGAACAAACUGAUUUUUAGCAUUUGCAGAGAGUCGCUGCAAACCGACUAAGCAUUUAACUGUUUUUAUUUACUUUCAAAAUAUACAAUUUGCAACAUCAAAUAUAUCAAAUCAACAAAACUAGACGUUUAUACAACAGAAUAAUGUUUUAGUUUUGGAUAAAGUGCUGAUUCAUCCACUCAGAUCUUUAAUUUACAUAAUAAAUAUGUGAUUUAAAUCUGCA